rnacentral:rRNA from 1 species
UACGUAGGGGGCUAGCGUUGUCCGGAAUCAUUGGGCGUAAAGCGCGUGUAGGCGGUCCGGUAAGUCCGCUGUGAAAGUCGGGGGGCUCAACCCUCGGAUGCCGGUGGAUACUGUCGGGCUUGAGUACGGAAGAGGCGAGUGGAAUUCCUGGUGUAGCGGUGAAAUGCGCAGAUAUCAGGAAGAACACCCGUGGCGAAGGCGGCUCUCUGGUACGUGACUGACGCUGAGACGCGAAAGCGUGGGGAGCGAACAGG